rnacentral:rRNA from 1 species
UACGAAGGGGGCUAGCGUUGCUCGGAAUCACUGGGCGUAAAGGGUGCGUAGGCGGGUCUUUUAAGUCAGAGGUGAAAUCCUGGAGCUCAACUCCAGAACUGCCUUUGAUACUGAGGAUCUUGAGUUCGGGAGAGGUGAGUGGAACUGCGAGUGUAGAGGUGAAAUUCGUAGAUAUUCGCAAGAACACCAGUGGCGAAGGCGGCUCACUGGCCCGAUACUGACGCUGAGGCACGAAAGCGUGGGGGAGCAAACAGG